CAGAUUUACCUGGAGUUGGAGUUUCAUUUACACUGAAUUUUUUGUCGUGCGAUUCGGCGUUAUCUGA
rnacentral:tRNA from 1 species